CCCCACCCACUUUCCCUCCAUUUCUGCGAUCUAAUCCACGUGAAUAUCGCCGACUGCUCCGGGCCAGGCCACGGCCAUGGAUCUCCUCGCGGACGCGCAGCCCCAGUGGCUCCUCGCCGGCGCGGCGCUGCUGCUCGCCACCGUCGCCUUCCUCAGGGUCCUCCUCGGCUCCGGCCGCGGCGGCAGGCGGGCGCCGCCGACGAUCCCGUGCGCGCCCGUCGUGGGCGGGCUGCUGCGGUUCCUGCGGGGCCCCAUCCCGCUUAUCCGGGCCGAGUACGCCCGCCUCGGCCCCGUCUUCACCGUCCCCAUCCUCACCCGCCGCAUCACCUUCCUCAUCGGCCCCGACGUCUCGGCGCACUUCUUCAAGAGCAGCGAGUCCGACAUGAGCCAGCAGGAGGUCUACCGCUUCAACGUCCCCACCUUCGGCCCCGGGGUCGUCUUCGAC
rnacentral:lncRNA from 1 species